rnacentral:snRNA from 1 species
GUAUCUUCGGAGACCUCCGUUAAAAUCGGAACGAUACAGAAAAGAUGAACAUGGCCUGUGCCCAAGGAUGACACGCACAAGUCGAAAAAUGGUCCAAUUUUAG